rnacentral:rRNA from 1 species
UACGUAGGGGGCAAGCGUUGUCCGGAUUCAUUGGGCGUAAAGAGCGUGUAGGCGGCCAGGUAGGUCGGUUGUGAAAACUGGAGGCUCAACCUUCAGACGUCGACCUAAACCAUUUGGCUAGAGUCCGGGAGAGGAGAGUGUAAUUCCUGGUGUAGCGGUGAAAUGCGCAGAUAUCAGGAAGAACACCCGUGGCGAAAGCGGCUCUCUGGAACGGUACUGACGCUGAGACGCGAAAGCGUGGGGAGCGAACAGG